ACUCAAGAACAUCAUCCACCUUUGUCUCUCACAUCUCACACUUGAUUCCAAAUGUUGAGCAAGUAAAGGGUGUAGCAACAUCCGUCCCCAUCAGUACCAUCUACCAUCGGAUUUGUGACUGCAGGGUUUGAUAAGUGGAGAUUCGGUGGUGGAAGCUUUGAAGAUCGACAGUGACAAAGGCGGUUAGGGUUCCGGCCGCGAAACCGACUUUCUGGGGUUUAAUCAUUGAUGUUCAUCAUUCGAUUUGCUCUUUGCUUUGGAGUUAUUUUAGCAUUCACCAAUUUUUCUACUUUGGCGUGUGUUAUUGUAGAUUUUCUAGCAUGCAUGGCAGGUAAUUUGUAUUGUUUUGCAAAAGAUAUGUAAUUUGUUUAGAAUUUUUCAGAUAAGAGUUUAGAAUUGGAAACCGUUAAGAUGGAUGGGUAUCGAGAUCGCCCUAGAGGGCUCUAGUGGAUUACUAGCCUGCUUUCAACAGGGGUUCUUAUGACCGUGGGGGAUAUUGUCAGAUAUCUUGCCCCUGGUAUACAUCUUUCAUGCUUGGUCCAUAUGUAUGUUUAGUCACCAACAGAAGUAAGUAAAAGGGAAGGAACUAAUUUCAUAUCAAGAAAAGUUUGUCAAUCAGACAAGAGGAUUUGGAUCACCAUGUUCAAGCUUCUUGUCACAACAUUCCUUGCACACACCAUAUCAUUAUCAUAUGAGGUCUGCAAGUGGUAAUUUUCAUCACCGCAGCCUCAUUGUUCAAGCUAAACCGGGUUUCUAUUCCAUCCUAGAGGUGUCAAAGACUGCCAGCAAAUCAGAAAUUAAGAGUGAUAAAGGAGGAUGUUGAGACUAAGGUGAAUUCGUUAAUACGAGAGGCCAACAAUGCGAUUUAUCUGGAAACAGAAGAUGUGGUGGGUUUUGUGAACUGGCUGCUUUCUUGGGUUAGAGGAAUCAAGGAACCAAUGUCCAAAAAAUAUAAGUUUUCACC